AUUGAACGCUGGCGGCAUGCCUUACACAUGCAAGUCGAACGGCAGCACGCGGCAACCUGGUGGCGAGUGGCGAACGGGCGAGUAAUGCAUCGGAACGUACCUUUCAGUGGGGGAUAACGUAGCGAAAGUUACGCUAAUACCGCAUAUUCUGUGAGCAGGAAAGCAGGGGAUCGCAAGACCUUGCGCUGAUUGAGCGGCCGAUGUCAGAUUAGCUAGUUGGUGAGGUAAAGGCUCACCAAGGCGACGAUCUGUAGCGGGUCUGAGAGGAUGAUCCGCCACACGGGAACUGAGACACGGUCCAGACUCCUACGGGAGGCAGCAGUGGGGAAUUUUGGACAAUGGGGGCAACCCUGAUCCAGCAAUGCCGGGUGAGUGAAGAAGGCCUUCGGGUUGUAAAGCUCUUUCGGCCGGGAAGAAAUCGCACGGGCUAAUACCCUGUGUGGAUGACGGUACCGGAAUAAGAAGCACCGGCUAACUACGUGCCAGCCGCCGCCGUAA
rnacentral:rRNA from 1 species